rnacentral:rRNA from 1 species
AAUGAACGCUGGCGGCGUGCCUAACACAUGCAAGUCGGAUGUGCCGCCAGGUGCAUGGCAGACGGGUGAGUAACGCGUAGGGAAUCUACCUUUUUGUGGGGAAUAACGCUCCGAAAGGAGUGGUAAUACCGCAUAAGACCGUGAGCUGGGAUGUUCACGGUGAAACCUGGGGACCGCAAGGCCUGGGGCAAAAAGAGGAUCCUGCGUCUGAUUAGCUAGUUGGCGGGGUAAUGGCCCACCAAGGCGACGAUCAGUAGCCGGCCUGAGAGGGUGAUCGGCCACACUGGAACUGAGACACGGUCCAGACUCCUACGGGAGGCAGCAGUGGGGAAUUUUGCGCAAUGGACGAAAGUCUGACGCAGCAACGCCGCGUGGGUGAUGAAGGUCUUCGGACUGUAAAACCCUGUCGUCAGGGACGAAGGUGGCAGUGUUAAUAGCGCUGUUACUUGACGAUACCUGGAGAGGAAGCCCCGGCUAACUCUGUG